AAGGAUCAUUAUUGAUUGCGAAUGUUGCCUUCAGUGCUGGCCAGCAGCUCGCUCUGGCAAGUGCACGUCGGUGGCUUUCAUCCACUACCCUGUGCACCUUUGGCCUCUUGCUAGCUUCGGCCGGCAGAGGAAUUUUACACAACUCGAAUGUAAUGAAAUUUACUGUCGUGCGCAAGCACUAAUGUACAACUUUCAACAACGGAUCUCUUGGCUCUC
rnacentral:misc_RNA from 1 species